rnacentral:rRNA from 1 species
UACGUAGGGUGCGAGCGUUAAUCGGAAUUACUGGGCGUAAAGCGUGCGCAGGCGGUCCGCAAAGUCUGAUGUGAAAGCCCCGGGCUCAACCUGGGAACUGCAUUGGAAACUAGCGGGCUCGAGUGUGGCAGAGGGGGGUGGAAUUCCACGUGUAGCAGUGAAAUGCGUAGAGAUGUGGAGGAACACCGAUGGCGAAGGCAGCCCCCUGGGCUAACACUGACGCUCAGGCACGAAAGCGUGGGGAGCAAACAGG